rnacentral:rRNA from 1 species
UACGUAGGUGACCAGCGUUGUCCGAUUACUGGGCGUAAAGAGCGCGCAGGCGGUCGUUCAAGUCGAGUGUGAAAGCCCCCGGCUCAACUGGGGAGGGUCACUCGAUACUGAUCGACUUGAAGGCAGGAGAGGGAAGCGGAAUUCCCGGUGUAGUGGUGAAAUGCGUAGAUAUCGGGAGGAACACCAGUGGCGAAGGCGACUACCUGGCCUGUUCUUGACGCUGAGGCGCGAAAGCUAGGGGAGCAAACGGG